rnacentral:rRNA from 1 species
CUCCUUGUCAAUGCCUGAUGCCUCACCUAAUCUCUGAAGCUAAAUCAGGCCAGGCCUGGUUAGUACUUGGAUGGGAGCCCACUGGGAAUAUCAGGU